rnacentral:tRNA from 1 species
GGUCCGUUGGUCAAGGGGUUAAGACACCGCCUCUUCAACGGCGGUUAACACGGGUUCGAAUCCCGUACGGACUA